rnacentral:rRNA from 1 species
GAUGAACGCUAGCUACAGGCUUAACACAUGCAAGUCGAGGGGAAACGACAUCGAAAGCUUGCUUUUGAUGGGCGUCGACCGGCGCACGGGUGAGUAACGCGUAUCCCACCUGCCCCUCACUUGGGAAUAACCUUGCGAAAGUAAGACUAAUACCCAAUGACAUCCCACGAAGACAUCUGAAUGGGAUUCAAGAUUUAUCGGUGAUGGAUGGGGAUGCGUCUGAUUAGCUUGUUGGCGGGGUAACGGCCCACCAAGGCAACGAUCAUUAGGGGAUCUGAGAGUGAGGUACACCAGAAUGGAACUGAGACACGGUCCAAUAUGCGAGGCGGGAGUAGAGAAACGAAUGCAGGUCACUGAGGGAUGGCCGGACCACGCCACGUGGCGGGCAAGAGUACGGGCAUAGUAAAAGUAUAUUGUUAUUGUAGGAGAAAAGAGUGAGUAACGAGGGACUUUUUGAAUGUACCUUAUGAGUAAGGAACGGCUAAUUACGUG